AGCCCACCCUAGCCCAACCACCCNNNNNNNNNNNNNNNNNNNNNNNNNNNNNNNNACACCAAACUAAAACAUUUUACCGUCUAAGUAUAGGCGAUAGAAAAGACGCCUGGAGCAAUAGACCCAUAGUACCGCAAGGGAAAGAUGAAAUAACAAUGAAAACUUAAGCAACAAACAGCAAAGACAGACCCUUGUACCUCUUGCAUCAUGAUCUAGCAAGAACAACCAAGCAAAAUGAAUUUUAAGCUUGCCCCCCCGAAACCCAAGCGAGCUACUCACAAGCAGCUACCCCCUGAGCAAACCCAUCUCUGUGGCAAAAGAGUGGGAAGACUUGUUAGUAGAGGUGAAAAGCCUACCGAGCUGGGUGAUAGCUGGUUGCCUGUGAAAUGAAUCUAAGUUCUUCCUUAAUUUCACCCUACAGACUCGANNNNNNNNNNNNNNGCAAAUUNAGAGUAAUUUAAAGGAGGUACAGCUCCUUUAAAAAAGAAUACAACCUCCCCCAGAGGAUAAGCACCAUCUUCAUGUACUUGUAGGCCCUUAAGCAGCCAUCAACAAAGAGUGCGUCAAAGCUCCCACCCCAAAAAAUCCAAAAACACAUGCGACUCCCUCACCAAUAACAGGCCAACCUAUUCAAAAUAGGAGCAUUAAUGCUAGAAUAAGUAACUAAGGAACUACCCUCUAAAGCACAAACUUACAUCCCACAUUAUUAACAGGCUCACUAAUACCUCAACCACUACAAGACNAGGUAUNNNNYAACUCUGUUAAACCAACCCAGGAGUGCUUAAUUAGAGAGAUUCAAACUUGUAAAAGGAACUAGGCAAACCCAAGGCCCGACUGUUUACCAAAAACAUAGCCUUCAGCAAACCAAGUAUUGAAGGUGAUGCCUGCCCAGUGACACUAAGUUUAACGGCCGCGGUAUCCUAACCGUGCAAAGGUAGCGCAAUCAAUUGUCUCAUAAAUCGAGACUUGUAUGAAUGGCCAAACGAGGUCUUAACUGUCUCUUACAGGUAAUCAGUGAAAUUGAUCUCCCUGUGCAAAAGCAGGAAUAAACCCAUAAGACGAGAAGACCCUGUGGAACUUAAAAACCAGCAGCCACUCUAAAAAAAUAAAAACCCACUGGGCCCACCACUAACAGACAACUGGCCUGCAUUUUUUCGGUUGGGGCGACCUUGGAGAAAAACCCAUCCUCCAAAGAUAAGACCACCCCUCUUGACCAAGAUCAACCACUCAACGUACUAACAGUAACCAGACCCAGCAUAGCUGACCAAUGAACCAAGCUACCCCAGGGAUAACAGCGCAAUCCCCUUCAAGAGCUCAUAUCGACAAGGGGGUUUACGACCUCGAUGUUGGAUCAGGACAUCCUAAUGGUGCAGCCGCUAUUAAGGGUUCGUUUGUUCAACGAUUAAUCAGUCCUACGUGAUCUGAGUUCAGACCGGAGCAAUCCAGGUCGGUUUCUAUCUAUGACUUAACCUUUCCCAGUACGAAAGGACCGGAAAAGUAAGGCCAAUACUCCAGGCAUGCCUUCCCCUAAAGUAAUGAACACAUCUAAAUUACCAAAAGGACCCCCAACACAAUCCUAAACAAGGACA
rnacentral:rRNA from 1 species